UACGUAGGGUGCGAGCGUUAAUCGGAAUUACUGGGCGUAAAGCGGGCGCAGACGGUUACUUAAGCGGGAUGUGAAAUCCCCGGGCUCAACCCGGGAACUGCGUUCCGAACUGGGUGGCUAGAGUGUGUCAGAGGGGGGUAGAAUUCCACGUGUAGCAGUGAAAUGCGUAGAGAUGUGGAGGAAUACCGAUGGCGAAGGCAGCCCCCUGGGAUAACACUGACGUUCAUGCCCGAAAGCGUGGGUAGCAAAC
rnacentral:rRNA from 1 species